rnacentral:lncRNA from 1 species
UCAUAUUCAGAUGGUAAGUUACAUAUCCAUGAGCUAUCAUAUGAGUAGCAAUGUAUACAUAACCAGUACUUCCAUAACUACCAUGGUAUUUAUCAAACUAUGCAUGUCUUAGAAUAAUUUAACUUAAUGAAGAUUUUAGUUUUCCAAGUAGUUUUUCUUGAACUUCCAUUGGCAGGAACAAGCAUAUGUAUGACUAUAUGUGACUUGCUUGCGAAUAUUACGUUCAAGUAUUUCCAAACGGACUCUCUAGGCUUACUUUCCAAUUACUGAUUAACUGCAUUUUUAUGCUUCUAAAGUGAUUAAUUCUACCUAGUUGAACAAGUGUUGCAAUUCUGAUGUUUUGAAAGGUAGACUUCAUCUAACCGAUAAAGAAUACCUCAGAGAUCUUCUUAUCAGAUAAUAGAAUAGUGACUUAAGAAUAUGUAUAGCAUGUUUUAUAACUUAUUUGUCCCAAAUGUUAAAGAUAAUAUUACUAACUAAUUCAGUGGAUUCACCACUUGCUUUUCAUUUAACAGAUCUGGAAAUAGAACCAAAGUCAGCACAGUGAGCGCACUAAUAGCACUCGAUGAUCCCAAUGCUUCUCUGUGGAUAUCUAGCUUACAGUUCUCUGAUGUUUACUUGAGACAAAUUCAGCUGUAAUAGUUUAGAUGAUCUAAUAUAUUACUCCAUGAACUCUACAGUGGAUUGUUGUAGUUUCUGUUCUAUUCCUAUCUAUUGUUUCUUCUACUUCCGUUACUUCAUGUUCGGGACUGCUUUGGAUUGUUUUUCCUUGAGUCGAGGGUCUAUCGGAAACAACUUCUCUACCUUCGAGGUAGGGGUAAGGUCUUGUACCUUCCCCACAUCCACUAUACUGGGUAUGUUAUUGUUGAACUACACAGUGGAUUCUUAUUUUUUGCUAACAUGUUGUUAUGUCUUACCCCUACCUUUGAGGGGAUAGAGAGACUGUUUCCGGAAGAUCAAGGAAGAUGUGAACUGAAAAGUCAACCCAUUUCCC